rnacentral:lncRNA from 1 species
UCGAAGCUUCGGAAAUGGAAAACAAGUUUGUCAAUUUGAUGAAAGUGGGCAUAAUAAGAAAGAAAGCCAAAAAAUCAAGGGAAUCAAAUGUAAACCUAAAAAUAAAGGAGAUAGAUCAUCUCGACGACCAAAAAAUGCUUUGGAAAAAGCUAAAAGAAAGAAAAGACUUCAAAUUGAUAAAUUAGUAGAGACUCCACUAGUUCAAGAGUUAAGGGUAAUAAUUUCUUGAUAUCAUUUUAUAUUAUGUUUUGAUUUAAUUUUAUAAUUAUUAUUUCCUUCUAAUCUAUAUAAUCAUGUAUCUAUUCUAAUAAUUUCAUAGGAUUCAAGUCAAAUUGCUCAUACUUUG